rnacentral:rRNA from 1 species
CUAUGCGCCUUGCCAGCCGCUCAGGGGUGCCAGCCGCCGCGGUAAUACGGAGGAUGCGAGCGUUAUCCGGAUUUAUUGGGUUUAAAGGGUGCGUAGGUGGUUAAUUAAGUCAGCGGUGAAAGUUUGUGGCUCAACCAUAAAAUUGCCGUUGAAACUGGUUGACUUGAGUAUAUUUGAGGUAGGCGGAAUGCGUGGUGUAGCGGUGAAAUGCAUAGAUAUCACGCAGAACUCCGAUUGCGAAGGCAGCAUACCGGCGCCCUACUGACGCUGAGCACGAAAGCGUGGGUAUCGAACAGG